rnacentral:lncRNA from 1 species
UAUUUUGUGGUGUAAAAUUUCGUGCUUAUGGUGUAGAGACAUGUUGCUUUUAUAGGCUUUUCUUGAUAAGGAAGUAGUAGAAACCUAAUAGGAAUCAAUUUCCGCCACUUUCCCCCAUCAGGACUUGUUCUUCGAUUUUCGCCAUGUUUGAGUCCGAAUUUUGGAAUAUUGUGUAAAUAAGAAUUGUAGCCCUUGAAAUUAGCUUUCCAAUGCCGCCAAAAUCACCUAAUUCGGAGUUUGUAUGAGAGAGAUAUGCUCGAAAUCGUGGACACUGUCAAAGCUGUGGCGAGAUUCCUUCUUCCAAUUUGAUUUGUUUCCUUAUUUGCAACUUUUUCCUUUC